rnacentral:lncRNA from 1 species
CUGGAUCCAGCCUUUUGAGUUGGAGUCCACGGUGAUGUGGUCUAGAAGCACAGAGGCUCGGCCCAGGCUGCCCACAGUCAAUAUUUGCUUUUGUGAGUGCCUGGCUUCUGGCGUGAGAACAAACAAAAACUGGCAAAUGUCUUUGAGAGAAAAGGGGGUGGGAGAUAUGGAUUUUCUUUCCCAACCCGAGGCUUUUCUCUCUAGUGUACUGCCCCCUUGCUGCAGCUGUCACCCUGCCUCUGGAAAGGGCCACUUCAAGUGCGUGUGUGUGUGAGUGAGAGAGGGAGUUCUCCACUAUUGCCACUCUCCGCCUGAGAUGUGACACCUGUUCCUAAUGUUCUCCAGGUCUGCAUUUCUAAAACACUUGAUGCUAACCACAGCACUAAGUGGUGAGUGCGGGUAGCUUUGAUUGCAUUAGUUUUCCUGUGUGUGUGUGUGUGUGUGUGUGUGUGUGUGUGUGUGUGCGCGCGCGUGGUUAAAAUGUUUGCGUCGUGAGCUGCUGCUAUUUAAAUGCCACACCACCUGCAAAACCGCUUGGGCAACGGCCACCCAUUGAGCCCAGGGCAGUAUGUUUGUUUCUCUCUUACUCUGUCCAUCUGGCUGCCCGAGAGAGGUAAAGAGUCUGUACAGAAGAGUCAAGGUGUAGAGAAAGCAGGGGAGGGAAGAAGAGUGAGAGACAGAAGGAAAGGGAGCGUGUGUGUGUGGGGGGGAUACAGAGAGGGUAAUGAAUAUGUAAGGGGUGUGGGGGUAAAGUGUGUCUGUUUCCACAACACAUAAAAAGACGUGAGUCUCGUAAACUACACGUGUCACAGAUGCUUUGAAGGGAACCUCUCCCUGUGUCUGUGUGCGCUGCCUGGGAGUAAUGAUCGUCUUGCCCUCUGAGGCUAUCACACGGGCAGGACUGAGCCAAAUGCUUCUCACACCUAUAAGCCAGUGGAAAACUUGUAAUGUUUCACAGGUUUGUGUCACAGCCAGAAAUGAACACAUUCUCCCACCGCCACCAUGGAGAUUUGAACCUUGUGUGGUUGAAUUUGAUGGCCUUAUUUACUUCCGGAAUCAUUUAGGCUCUUGUGUGUACACUGGUGUUUUAGAGUUGUAUUUCCUGUUUUGUCAUCAGAGCAAACCGGCGGCUUUGUUUUGGAGACGGGCUUGGUCUGUUUGAACAUGUUUACAUGGGAGUGAUCCCACACUGGUACGGGUGGAGGACACACAAGCGCGGGGGAGAGAGAGAGAGAGAGAGAGAGAGAGAGAGAGAGAGAGAGAGAAAAUAAUGCAGAGGCUUACCUCAGUGUUUUCAUGGUCUCAU